rnacentral:rRNA from 1 species
UACAGAGGUCCCAAGCGUUGUUCGGAUUCACUGGGCGUAAAGGGUGCGUAGGCGGUCGGGUAAGUCUGACGUGAAAUCUUCAAGCUCAACUUGGAAACUGCGUCCGAUACUAUUCGGCUAGAGGAAUGGAGGGGAGACUGGAAUACUUGGUGUAGCAGUGAAAUGCGUAGAUAUCAAGUGGAACACCAGUGGCGAAGGCGAGUCUCUGGACAAUUCCUGACGCUGAGGCACGAAAGCCAGGGGAGCAAACGGG